rnacentral:rRNA from 1 species
AUACGUAGGUGGCAAGCGUUGUCCGGAUUUACUGGGUGUAAAGGGCGCGUAGGCGGGCAGGCAAGUCAGAUGUGAAAUCUCCGGGCUCAACCCGGAAAUUGCAUUUGAAACUGCAGGUCUUGAGUAUCGGAGAGGCAAGCGGAAUUCCUAGUGUAGCGGUGAAAUGCGUGAAUAUUAGGAGGAACACCAGUGGCGAAGGCGGCUUGCGGGACGACAACUGACGCUGAGGCGCGAAAGCGUGGGAGCGAACAGGAUUAGAUACCCUGGUAGUCCACGCCCUAAACGAUGAAUACUAGGUGUGGGGGGACUGACCCCUUCCGUGCCGGAGUAAACACAAUAAGUAUUCCACCUGGGGAGUACGGCCG